GCGAUUAUAUAUAUAUAUACCAAUAAUAUAGUGCAACACAUUUACAUAAAUAAUAAGCAUACAAUUUAAAUGCUAGUGCAAUCCAAAUUCAAUGGCACUUUCGUAAAAGUAGCUUUUUACGUAAAAAGACACAUAAAAAAACGGCGCGUGUGAAAAUUUUCAACAACGACGUAGCAGCAGUCAGCAGAGGCAGUCUCAGUCUGUCUCGCCUCUACGUUUCUUUGCUGCAAAAGGAGAAGCUGAGCAACAACACAACUACAACAAAAUUCCCCACACACAAACGGUGCAUAAGUGAAGCAAAUGUACACGAAGAGGCAAACGCUGGCGACGCGCCGCGACGUCGGCUCUGCAGGACAGGUUUAUCAGGGCAAAAAUUUCACAAAAAGAUACUGAGCCGUAUAUAUACGUGUAUGUGCUCCCCUGUAUUUUGCAAAGUGCGUCUUUGUGUAUGUGUGUGUGUGUAUCAACAAUGUGUGCAACAAUAACAAAAACAACAGCAACAACAACAACGACUAACAUAGCAGCACGAGAAAGCAAAGUGAAAUUUAUUAAAGCAACAACAACAACAACACGCAAUACCAAUUCGAAACCGUUAUUCAACAAUUUCUUGAAAUAAGUGAAAGAAGGCAAAUACUGGUUUUUAUAUACAUAUACACACACAUGUAUGUAUGUGCAUGUAUAUUUUAAUGUUGAAAGAAACAACAACAACAACAACAGCAACAACUAAAAAGUUGCUGUGCGAGAAAUUUGUACGUGUAUUACCAGCGUGUGUGUGUGUGUGAGUGUGUGUGUAUGCGUGGUGUCUUCAGACUGUGUGUGAGACAAAUAGUAAAACAACAAAGUGAAAAGCAAUGCUAAAAGGAAUUAAAACAACAACAGCAACAACAACCCCAUUAACGGUACCAAACAAUUACACAAAACGUGAACGCAACGUGAAAUAACAGUAAAAGUCUUUUCAAAAAAGCUACAGAGAGCGCAACAAAAGCAACACGCGUGGGUGUCAACGUCACACGCACACACGCUCAACCAACAGCAGCAGCGCCAGCGGCAGCGCAGCAGCAGCAGCCAAGGGGUGGCUGCAGGGAACAAAGGCAGCGUCCGGCUCUGCCACUCAGCUUUACAAUUGAGCAUAUUUUCAAGGGCUCCAACAAGCGCGCGCUGCGUUUCAAUUUAAAUUAUUGGAGAUGCUGAAUGUGGUCAAUAUUUUCAAUAGGUGUUCCAAAAUCAUUGGACUAUAAGUCACAAAGUUACAAUGGACCCGAACAGGCAUAACGAAUAUCAAACGCAUCAUCAUCAAACUUCCCACCCACUGCAACACCUGCAGCAUCAGCAUGUGCAUGCGUAUCCACAACAUGCGGUGCAUAACCACAUACACCACCAACAACAA
rnacentral:sRNA from 1 species